CUUAGGUUUAAUUACUGUGUUUUCUCCAACCCCUUUAGAUGAAAAUUGAGACAAUUAAGCUGUCCAACCCAAGAUCAGUGAUUCUUCUGGUUCAAUUCCACCGUGGUCAGAGAUGAGAGGCAUGACUUCACCUCUGUGGACUUGUUCGGACUUGUUCUGUGGCCCAGCACUCGUCUUACUUUGCUAAGCACUCACUGGAAAAGAACAUAUGUUCUCCAGCUGCUGGGUGCCCUGCUGCUCCCUGACGCCUAUGAGGUCACACUAGUCCUCUUACAGAUUGGGCCAGCAAGAUGGGUCAGUGGAUAAAGUCCUGGGCCACUAAGCCUGAUGACCUGAGUUCAACCCCCAGGUAGGUGAUCAAUGUAAUUGGAAGUGUUUUUUCCUUUCAUGUGUGUGUGUGUGUGUGUGUGUGUGUGUGUGUGUGUGCAUGUAGACAAUCAACUUCAUCACGGUGUACUCUGAGCUCCACACAUAGGCUGUAGCAUAUGUUUCCACACACACAAAACAAAUAAAUGUAAUACAAAUUUUAAUUAAAAUUCAUUUAUUAAAUAUACUUCAAGAAAGCAGCAGACUGGACAGUACCCAGAGUACUGCUUGAGACCAGGCAUGAUGGCACACGCCUUUAGUCCCAGAGCUUGGGAUGCAGAGGCAGAACUCUGUGAGUUCAAGGCCAGCCUGGUCUCCAGGGAGAGUUGUAAGAUGCUCCCUUAACUCCCCCCAAAUUAAUAAAAUAAUGAGAAUAAUAAUAAAUUUUACAUUUUCAGUAACUCCCGCUUCUAUCGGACUAGUUAGUUACUUGUGUAGAAUCUGUGUGUAUGUGUGUUUGUGUAUGUAUGUGUGUAUAUGUGUGUGUGUGUUCCUGUGUAUAAGACAGAGGGCAGCCUCAGGUGACAUUCCUCAGCCAAACCUUCACCUGGCUAGUGUUAUUACGGUACACCUUCUUUUUGAGAUAUGAUCUCUCACUGGCCUAGAACUUGCAGAAUGUGCUGGGCUGACUUGCUAGUGAGCCCAAGGGUCUGUCUGUCCUGCCUGCUAGUGAGCCCAAGGGUCUGUUUGUCUGGUCUGCCAGUGAGCCCAAGGGUCUGUAUGUCUGGCCUGCCAGUGAGCCCAAGGGUCUGUCUAGUCUGCCAGUGAGCCCAAGGGUCUGUCUGUCCCCAUCUCCCCAGCACUGGGAUUACAGGUAUUUGCUACCACCAUAUCCACUUUUUUUUUUAACAUGGGGCAUGGAGAUCAAGCUCAGAUCUUCAGGUUUACAAGUCAAGCACUGGACCAACUGAGCCUCUCUGCACAUCUGAGCUUGCUUUUAAACCAGUAUUAGACUUUUAAGGAUGCUACCCAAACUCCGGUUUUGAUAGAUCCUCUGAGAUAUGGGGAACAGCCCCAACCUCCUAGCAUCUAUGUGAGAAUUAGGAGAUGUCCAGGAUCCCAAAGACGGGACACAAUACAAAUGUCCUGGUUGUCUUUCACCGGUCCUCAACUUCCCUUCUGCAAAACCGGUGUGCUGAUAACUAUACAGAGUUCUUUCGAUCCUGUGAUAUGAACACCACCAAUGUGAAAGAUGUUUCAAAUAUAAAAUGCUACACAUGUAUUUAGGUAUGCCACAUGUGUACAAGUGCCACAUAGACCAGUGGAGCUCUUAGGGCCUGUAGACCUAGAGAUCUUGGCUGGUAUGAGCUACCUGUUGUAGGUUCUUGGAACCAAAGCCUGGGUCUCUCCAAGAGCAAUAAACUCUCUUAACUGCUGAACCAUCUCCCUAGCCCCAAACCACAGAAGAUCCCACUGCCCCAUAUAUUGCCUUGCUGUCAAUCAUGGUUAACCCUACUAGGUUCUUUCCAAGCCCUUGGGUUGUGACACUAGUGGCAAAUGUGUCUAAGGGAAGAGAGGGUGAAAACUUUAUCCUGAGCAUAUAGGUUCUGGUAUCUUAUCCACUUCAUCGAUACUACCAAGCCUGGGUGGCCCGACAAGCAUGCAAUCUUUGGGAAGGUGUUAUGGAAGCCAUAACACCCUGAGAUCACCAUUGGUGACUGUGGAUAGCUCUGCCCAGCAGACCCUUGAGUCAUCCCCAGGGGAGCCCCGGUCUCUCUCAACAUAUCUUCAAGUUUUGCUCUUGCUGUGGGUUUUUGGUUUCAUGUUUUUCUUAUUCCCUCCAAGUCUAGGGCCAUUGCAGAGUUAAGAUUAUAAUUGGAGAUAAAAAUAAACAAGGAAAAAUGCUAUGCAGAAAGAAUAUACGUGCUGAGGUAAGUGAUGAUUGUCUUAGUGAGCCACAAAGUGACUGAUGAACUUCAUACUAGAAGCCAUGCUGGUUCCGCUUUGUUCCUAUGGCCUUCCAAAAUCCACUCAAUUUCAGGGAUCAGGAGAGUGCCAUCUUCCUGCUGUAUUAGCUAUUUUUUUUCUCCUUGCUGUGAUGAAAUGCCUGGCAAAAGACAAUUGAAGGACAGUUGACUUUGGCCCAUAGAUCAUGGAUACAGUCCAUCAUGGUGGGGAAGACAUGGCAGCAGAGGGAUGAGGCAGCUGGAACCCCACAUCCACAGUCAGGGAUUUUGUAAAGAGACAUGAAAGCUGGUGUCUGAGAGCUCUCUCUUCCAGUCCAGGCCCCCAGCCCAUGGGAUGUUGCUACCCUCCUUUAGGGUGAGAUUUUCUGCCUUAAUUAGACUAAUCUAGACUCUCCCUCACAGACGUGCCCAGAGGCUUGUUUACUGGGUGAUUCUAGAUCCUCUUGAGUUGACAGCAUCAGCCACCAGAUCUGGAAUUCCUUCCUAAUCUUGCUGAGCUGCUCCUCGGGACAUGGUGGCUGUAGACACCCAUCUAAUCCCUAAGAUUUUCCCACAACCCCCAGGGUGUGGCCAGGAUGAUGCAACCCUGAGAAAUUCACAUGCCACCUCUACGACAAGACCUUUACAUUUUCACCCGUAACUUUAUCUGUAAAUGGCAGAUGAUGACAUCUUCUUUGCAGGGUCCUCUCUGGAUAAGAGGAAAUAACCAGAAGACUGUGGUGCACAGGAGGCCUGAGGAUCCCCUGGUAGCUCCCACCAGAUGCCUGGCCUCCUGAGUUCUUCAGAGUCCUUUCAGGCCUUCUCUGCCGCCACUGCUCCCCCUGCCAGACAGCAGAUGGUGCUGUCAGACGCAGAGAGAGGGCAACAGGAGCCAAUGAGAGCCAAUGAGAGGAAGGCAGGCAAGCUAAUGGGCGGACCCAGACCUGACCACUCGAGGGCACCCCAGCUCCUGCCCCAGCCUCUGCUGGUGCACCAGCAGUGGGCUAGGCCAGCCAUUGACUCUCCUCCCACCCUGGAGGAGCAGGAAUGAAUUAGUCUGUCCUCAGCAGGGUCUGAGAAGGAACUUUAUUGGAAGUAUUAGAAAGGACAGCUAGCUCUCUAGUUCUCCAAACUAAACAACACAGCUGGUGCAGAUUGCCUGCUGCCUGGGGUGCACCAGAGAGCCUCGGAGCAGGAGCCAGGGCGCUUCUGCCUUAUCGGCCUGGAGCAAAGUCAAUCGGUGCCCUUUGGUUGUAGCCUUGCACCUUUCUGUGGACCCCACAUCCCCUUCUGGAGCCUCACCUUGCCUUGCAGCCACAGGCCCGUCAUCCCCAUUUUCUAGCUCCCUUCACCCAUCACCAGGGUCUUUAGGAACCUGGCUCAAUACAUAGUUAUUAAUUUGUGUGUGGGCCACUGCCAGACUGCAUGUUACCUCCAGCAGAGAAGGGACAGGGUUGGCUGUGCAUCAGUAUCUCAGGCACAAAGUUGACACUCAAAGAAUACAUGCUGAAUGAAUGAGACAAUCAGUCAAUCAAAAAUAUGGUACUGGGGGAUGAGCAGAAUGGCUCGCUUGAUAAUGUUCUUGCUACACAACUUGAAGACCUGUUAGAUGCCCAGAGCUCUUGGUUAAAAGCUGAGUGUGGGGGGUUGUUCUUAUGAUCCAGUACCAGGAGGCACAGACAGGUAGGGUCAGGAUCCCUGGGGCUCACUAGCUAGUCAGCCUAGCCUCCUCAGUGAGUUCCAGGACAAUGAGACCCUUUCUCUUAAAAAAAGAGUAGACAGUGUUCCCAGGAACUACACCCAAGGCCUAUACAGACAGGCACAUACACAUGCACCUGUGGGACAUUCACAUACACAUGCACCUGUGGGACAUUCACAUACAC